rnacentral:rRNA from 1 species
UGGGCGCAAGCCUGAUGCAGCAACGCCGCGUGAACGAUGAAGGUCUUCGGAUCGUAAAGUUCUGUUGCAGGGGAAGAUAAUGACGGUACCCUGUGAGGAAGCCCCGGCUAACUACGUGCCAGCAGCCGCGGUAAUACGUAGGGGGCUAGCGUUAUCCGGAUUUACUGGGCGUAAAGGGUGCGUAGGUGGUCUUUCAAGUCGGUGGUUAAAGGCUACGGCUCAACCGUAGUUAGCCUCCGAAACUGGAAGACUUGAGUGCAGGAGAGGAAAGUGGAAUUCCCAGU